GCCCCGCUAGCUCAACGGAUAGAGCAGCUGAGUCCUAAUCAGCAGGUUGCAAGUUCAAAUCUUGCGCGGGGCA
rnacentral:tRNA from 1 species